GUGCUCGCUUCCAUAGCACAUACAAUAAAAUUAGAACAAUACAGAGGUUAGCAUGGCCCCUGCACAGGAUGACAACACAAAUUAGUGACGCUUCCAUAUUUUCA